CUCAUAAGGAUCAACUUCUUGCGUGGUUGGUACUAGGAUAGUGAAAGGUUGAGCUCCCGCUACAUAUACUUGUGGCACAUAUUGCGUGUUAGAAAUUGAAACAUGUGCCACCGAUAUAUGUGGGGCCUCUUGGUGGUAUUGGAUAACUGGGGUAGUUUGGAUAAGUGGAUAUUUUAGGUAUAUGGAGCUUAGGUGAACAAAGUUUGGGUAAGUGAAGCUUAAGGAACAUAUAGGGUGGUGAAGGGUAAUGGAUUUGUUUGUUGGAAGUCCACUUGUUGCGUGUUGUUUUCUUGUGGGUUAAUGGGAGAUUUGGUAGAAUUUGGGUUGUUUUGGUGGAGUGAAGGAUUUAGUGGGAAGUGUUGGGAGGCGGGAGAAUAAACAGGUGGAAAAGAAGAUGGAAUAGCAGUAUUUGUUCCAUGUUCAGGAAGUGGAGUAUUCAUGGUAAUAGACAGUUUGGUAAGGGUCCGAAGUUAAUUAAUCUCACUUUGCAUGUCGGUUAUUUGUUGCAUCAUACCAGCUAUAUGUUCUUCAUGGAGGAUUGCAUCCCUCUCCCCCGAAGUUUCGGGUUCACCUCUUAGGAUGAUGACAAGUCCUAAACCAUCAGGUGUACCUAAAACAGUCAUAUGUUGGCAUUUGCUCGUGCUUUUGAUCUCGUAAAGUAUGGGUG
rnacentral:lncRNA from 1 species